AUUCCAUGAUGAGGGCAUCUUCAUAAUAGUUCUUUAAACCUUUCUCACGCUUCAUACAAGGACUCAUCAUCGAUCUAUUGGAAGAUAGUGAUUCAUUCUGUAACU
rnacentral:snoRNA from 1 species